rnacentral:rRNA from 1 species
AGAGUUUGAUCCUGGCUCAGAACGAACGCUGGCGGCAGGCCUAACACAUGCAAGUCGAGCGAACCUUCGGGUUAGCGGCGGACGGGUGAGUAACGCGUGGGAACGUACCCUCUUCUGCGGGAUAGCCACUGGAAACGGUGAGUAAUACCGCAUACGCCCUUCGGGGGAAAGAUUUAUCGGAGGAGGAUCGGCCCGCGUUGGAUUAGGUAGUUGGUGGGGUAAUGGCCUACCAAGCCUACGAUCCAUAGCUGGUUUUAGAGGAUGAUCAGCCACACUGGGACUGAGACACGGCCCAGACUCCUACGGGAGGCAGCAGUGGGGAAUCUUAGACAAUGGGCGCAAGCCUGAUCUAGCCAUGCCGCGUGAGUGACGAAGGCCUUAUGGUCGUAAAGCUCUUUCGCCAGAGAUGAUAAUGACAGUAUCUGGUAAAGAAACCCCGGCUAACUCCGUGCCAGCAGCCGCGGUAAUACGGAGGGGGUUAGCGUUGUUCGGAAUUACUGGGCGUAAAGCGCACGUAGGCGGAUUGGAAAGUUGGGGGUGAAAUCCCAGGGCUCAACCCUGGAACGGCCUCCAAAACUCCCAGUCUGGAGUUCGAGAGAGGUGAGUGGAAUUCCGAGUGUAGAGGUGAAAUUCGUAGAUAUUCGGAGGAACACCAGUGGCGAAGGCGGCUCACUGGCUCGAUACUGACGCUGAGGUGCGAAAGUGUGGGGGAGCAAACAGGAUUAGAUACCCUGGUAGUCCACACCGUAAACGAUGAAUGCCAGUCGUCGGCAAGCAUGCUUGUCGGUGACACACCUAACGGAUUAAGCAUUCCGCCUGGGGAGUACGGUC